AUGAUUUGGACUAAGAGGCUGUAUUCAGCAAAGCUUGUUCAGGGCCAGGAUGUCAGAAAGCAUUUGGACAAUCUAAAGCAAUUAUUGAUUGAAGCUGAGGAAAGAGGCCUACAAUAUUCAGAAGCACAGAAGUGUUAUCUGGUGCUGUGCAGUUUGUCUGAGGAUUGGGACUUUCUGGUACAUUCUUUUCAGAAUGUGAGAGUCCAGGAAUUAACUUUGGAUUCAGUAUGUGGAAAAAUCUUAGAAGAAGUGGACCAAAGGUCUUUUGAACGGGCCCAGAAGCAGACGAUGGCGCAGUGCGACCAGGAGGGGGCGCAAGUGGUCGGCUUUGGUCCAGAUGGUGUUCCUGGGAAUCGUGAGGACGUUGCAGUACAUCAGGUCAAAACACGGCGUUGUUUUGUCUGCAACAAGCUGGGGCAUUUUGCCAGGAGUUGCCCAAACAACAAGACAAGAAAUUCUCGUGGGAACGGAGGGGCUAAGAGUUUGUCAACAACAACUAAGCCCCAGGUGUUUAUGGCUGCAGUGAAUGGAAGGAUCACCGAAAAGAACAAGUGGUAUUUGGACUCAGGUUGUACACACCAUGUUGUUACAAAUCUUAAACUUUUGAAAAACAGAAGGGAUGUGUCUGGAACAGCAGUGACUUUAGCUGAUGGAACUGAGAGGAAGUUCAACAAAUUGGGCACUGUGUUCAUCCCUUGCUUGAAUGUGGAUUGGGAAAAUGUACUUUACAUCCCAGAAUUAAGUUCUAAUUUGUUAAGUGUGGCUACCUUAACAGAGAAUGGAUAUAGAGUAAUUUUUAGCGGAAUCUAUUGCUAUAUUCAAAGAGAUGGACGAGUAGUGGCAAAAGGUGUAAAAAGGAACAAAAUGUAUAUGAUGUUUGACAAGAAUAAUUUUCCAGAUGGGGCACAAGUCCAUUGUGUAAAACAGAAGAUUAUGCAUGACAGGUGUAUCCAUCAUCUUCACAGAGCGAUGGGUCAUGCACAUGUAGAGGUGCUCAGAAAGACUUUAGAAAUAUGCACAGAUUUUGAGUGUGAGAAAUGUGAAAAUUUGUUAGACUGUGCAGUUUGUUCAGAGAUGGAAAUUGAAUCAAAAGAGCAUCCUAAAAGAUCUGGAAUUAAGGCCAAGGAAAUGUUUGAAAUAGUCCAUCUGCAUGUGACAGAAUCUGAUGUGAAAAGCCAGGGAGGUUCUCAAUUUUGUUUACUGUUAGUUGAUAGACACACAAGUUUUGGUUUUGUAUACUUCCUUAAAGAUUUGAAGGAAGCUGUUGUAAAGGUGUCUAAUUGGAUAGGCAUGGUUCAAAGGGUCUAUGAACAGCAUGUAGGUCAAAUAGUUUUUGACAAAGGAAUUAAUGUGUGUAAUGAAGAAAUGAAGAAAAUGUUGAGUGAAAGGAAUAUAGGAUUUAAAAAUGUAAAAUCAAAUAAGCCAAAUGAAGAAGGCGUGGCUCAAAAUAGGAUGAAGCAAAUUCUUCACAUGAAUGAGUGUUUAAUUACAGAUUCCAAAAGCUCAACUAAGAAUUGGCCAGAGUGUUCACACACAAGUAAUUAUAUUUUAAACAGGUUAUGGGAUGAGGAAUUGGAUGACAUCCCAUUUCGGAGAAUGUACAAAAAAUCUCCAAGUUUAAAACACCUAAGAAUUUAUGGUCAGUACGCCCAGGUAUAA
ensembl:lncRNA